rnacentral:rRNA from 1 species
GUGGGGAAUCUUCCACAAUGGACGAAAGUCUGAUGGAGCAACGCCGCGUGAGUGAAGAAGGGUUUCGGCUCGUAAAGCUCUGUUGUCGGGGACGAAUGUGCAGUAUUUGAAUAAAGUAUUGCAAUGACGGUACCUGACGAGGAAGCCACGGCUAACUACGUGCCAGCAGCCGCGGUAAUACGUAGGUGGCAAGCGUUGUCCGGAAUUAUUGGGCGUAAAGGGAGCGCAGGCGGGAAGGUAAGUCGGUCUUAAAAGUGCGGGGCUCAACCCCGUGAUGGGAUCGAAACUAUCUUUCUUGAGUGCAGGAGAGGAAAGUGGAAUUCCUAGUCUAGCGGUGAAAUGCGUAGAUAUUAGGAGGAACACCAGUGGCGAAGGCGACUUUCUGGACGAUAACUGACGCUGAGGCGCGAAAGCGUGGGGAGCAAACAGGAUUAGAUACCCGUGUAGUCC